rnacentral:lncRNA from 1 species
GAAGAAGUGGAUAACUAAGCUCAUCCAAGCUGGAAUAACUGAAGGUGCCAGUGUGACUGCUGGGUUUGACAAUGGUGAUAUUCACAGGCAAGAAGAACUGGAAUUGUCAGCAAGCAACUAGAGAAAGGAACCUUUCAGAACCUGAAGACUCAGUGACUGCUUUUGCUAUCAGUAAUAAAGUCCAUUUUCUGUGAUCCUGGAGUCUUGUUUCCUCUGCCAGUGCCCUUGAAUCCUCCAAGAAUGCACCACCAAGUCAAUGUACAUGAGUGCCUUUGCAAUGACAUUGAGUGACACCCAGCAGUUGCAGUUGGUUCACCAACAGAAACACCAGACAGCAGGGAUGGCAGCUGGCAAAUGUCUUUGAGGAGGAUCAUGAAAA